CGUGGGCCUCAGUCGCCAUCUUUGUGCGAUCCAGGGAGCUCGUGUCUGUGCUGCGUGUGACGUCUUGUUGAAUACGGCUCAAUAUGAGCAGAAUGAAGGUAAAUCUCCAAGUCCCACAGUCAGAGCUCAAGACUGUGAGGCAGGACUUCAUUCCUUGAUGAAUGCGGCUCAACUGCUAACAGGAUAAGAAGACACGAACCAGGAGAAGUUGGACGCUUUUUAGAAUUUCCUCUCGUACCGCUAUAGUGUCAUGGGUGGAGGGGAGCAAGGCUGCCAUCUCCGAAGACAACACGCCUCUGAGUGUGCGCCUCCUAGUUUGUGCGGCAAUGUUCCCCGUGUUCAAUGAGAAAAUUCAAUGCCCCAGCGCUCUGAACUCCCAGCUAGUAUUGACGCAAUAGCUCUCCCAAAUGUCGACCGGAAAGUCGUUAAAAAAAUCGUUGCGACGAUCGGCUCGACAAGCUGAAGACCGCGCCAGUGAAUGUAUGUGAAACGGCACCUCUACUCUCCCAUCGCCAGGCCCAAAGACGUGUUGUUCAUAGGUGUCUUUCACAAUACUAGUGUUGCUGAUCGCGGAGGACCACUGUCCACUGCUCGUCCGCCGUGGUGUUUCUUCUGAUGAGGCUCAGAGCGCAUGUGUAUUGUUUACUGUGAACAAUCUGUUGAAAUAUAUAAUGAGUAGAUCUGUACUCUGAGACUUAAUGAACUUGGCUAACGAGGAUGUGUGUUAAAGCAAAACGAACUGUGUUACACGCCUCAAUAAUUAUGUGGAAUGAGUUGUAUAAAUGUAUACUUCAUGUCGAUUUAUUGCGGUUAAAGACGUUACCUCUGUUUAAACGCGGCUGGGCCUGUUACAGCCCCGUUUGCAUCAAAGAAGGUACGCCUUUCAUCGCAAUAAGUCCACAUGAAUUAUAUAUUCAUAUAUUCAUUCAACGUGAUCAUUGAAUCGUGUAAUGCAGCUCAUUUUGCGUUAAUAUACAUUCUAAAAGGAGGUACUGGACGGGAAGUAUAUGAACACGAACCGAGCUACGAAACACGUUACACGUUUAUGGCGAGUUUACUAACAUCUAAUUUCCGGAUAUGUUAACACAAAUAAGUUUAUGUAGCCGAUAAUUAUCCGAGCCCAGAAACACCAGUGGUGUUAUUGAACACUUAACAUCUUUAAUGCGAGCUAUUUUACACGUUAUUCGAUACGCUAGAAACAUGUUGGCGAGUUAUCGAACUCGGUAACACGUCUUUAUCGAGUUACGGAACACCACUUUUUGGAAAGUCAAAACUCAUACCGAGUUAUGUAGCACGGAUUUACCGUGUAUGAGAAAACACGGUGGCGUGUUAUGAGAUACGGCUGUACCGAGUCGUUUUUGGCCAUAUAACACAAAACGUG